GAGCAGCAGGACCAUGGACAAGUCAGUGCAGGCAGGCUGAGACCAGGGACUUAGCCCAGAACCUAGCCAGACUGGGUGAGGAUACUGGGAUGGGCCCUGCUGGUCUGGUUGAAGACUGAGCCCAAGAAGGGCUGCUGAAAGGACACCAACUGAUGGUACCAAGAUGGACCCCUGUUGGGCUGUUAAAGAAGGCAGUAUCUCCAGGAAGGAAACCUUGGUGCUAUAGCCCCAACCAGGGCUACGAGAAAGAACUAGAGACUGUAUAUCCUGGAAGAGGGAACAGUUUGUGUCACUUGACCAGAAGGCUGAUUUGCUGAACAACUGACCAGAAAGGGAGCGCCUGCAAGAAGCGGGUGCUACCCCUGUUCAAAGCUGAGUGAUUGCAGGCACACAUCGGCCAAAAGGGGGGGCACUCAUGACAGGAUCCACAGAAAGACGCUGCACAUUGUACUGCUGAUGACCAUCUGGCUUGCGAGGAGUUGGAAGAUGCCGUGAGAACGGAGCGGCAACUAGUCUAUGAUCUGAGUUUGCUGGAGCUACUGUGCCACUGAAGACCCAGUAAGGGGGAAAACUCUGCCUGGCUUCUGCAGCAGCUUUGAUUGGCUGCUCUUUCUGAGGAGGCAGGGGAGUGUGGAAGGCAGCUAAUUAAAGGGCUGGAGCAUCUAUCAUCAUCGUGAGACCAGCUGCAGUCCUGUCUGAAAUCACAUGACUCACCAGGAAAUUGUCACCAGUUAAGACUCACACCGUUUCAGAUAAAACAUGCUAAAUAAAAGGUAGCUCAGCUUCACAUCUCAUCUGAACUGCUCAUCAUAACAAAGUGAUCAGAGGAGAAGCAGCACCUGGAAACGUACAGUGCAUCAUUCCUGCCCAUUCACAACAACUGGCUUCCUAAAGCUUUCAAAAUCAGAACAUAACUUUGUAUAAAAGACUCCUACCUUUCCAACAUAUUGAUAAUCAGAGCCUGUGUAUUCCUCCAAGAGAAAGAACUGAUUCCACAUCCAGCUCCUUUUGGAACGAGUAAACUCCUUCCUGCUAUUUCCAGACAGUUCCAAAACCUUUUCCUUUUCUGGAAAGCCCCUAGUCCUUUUGGAUAACGGAGAUGAAAAACUUUGGUGAGGCUGACCAACCCAGAACAGCAGCCAGAAGCAAUGGU